GCCAUCUUCCUCUCUCCCGAAAAAUGCAAUUUAAUCAAAAACCUUCAGCUCCAUUACCGCUGCCAUGGCCACAAAAGCACAAAGAAACCUCUCAAUUUUCUACACUAGAAGACACUUCACCGUCGCCGGAGCCAAAGUCGCCGGAACGAGGUCUCCGGCAUCAUCGAAGAUUGGAAACUUACUCGUCGUCGCUUCAAUUACAAAAGCUUUGACAGCACCAGGAGGAACACGUAACCUAGAAAAAUACAACGAUUCAAUUGCCGUAUCAGAAAACCUAGUCCUUCAAAUCCUUCGCCGUAACAAUUUAGACGCCGCCACUAAACUCGACUUCUUCAAAUGGUGCUCUCUCAGGCCCAAUUUCAAACACUCAAUAGAAACUUACUCUCAAAUGUUCAGAUCCAUUUGCUAUUAUAAUUCUCACAAUCACCGGGAAGAUAUAUUCGUUCUCCUCAACUCCAUGAAGCAUGACGGAGUGUCGCUUAAUUCAGCCACAUUUAAGUUGUUGCUCGACUCGUUUACUCGAGCUGGUAAUUUCAAUUCUGCGCUUGAGCUUUUGGAAUUCAUGGAGAGUGAUCUGGAAAAUUCUAAUAAUAAUUGUUUAAGUCCUGAUGUGUAUAAUUCUGUGCUUAUUGCACUUGUACAAAAAAAUCAAGUUAGUUUAGCUUUGUCAAUUUUCCUUAAAUUGUUGGAAACUAAUGAUGGGAAUGGUAAUAGCAUUGGGAUUAGCGAUGCUGUUGCAUGUAAUGUGUUGCUUGUUGGUCUUAAGAGGGCUAAUAUGAGGGAUGAAUUUAAACAAGUUUUUGAUAAGCUUAGAGGAAAGAAGAAUAUUUUUCCGUUGGAUAGAUGGGGAUAUAACAUAUGCAUUCACGCAUUCGGGUGUUGGGGGGAUUUGUCUAGUUGCUUGAGUCUUUUUAAAGAAAUGAAGGAAAGGGGAAGUUGGUUUAGUCCCGACUUGUGCACUUAUAAUAGCUUGAUUCAUGUGCUUUGCUUGCUCGGGAAGGUUAAGGAUGCUCUUGUUGUGUGGGAGGAAUUGAAGGGAUCUUCGGGUUUGGAACCUGAUGUUUAUACUUAUCGAAUUGUUAUACAAGGUUGCUCUAAGGCUUACCUGAUAAAUGAUGCGAUAAAAGUGUUCAGUGAGAUGCAGUAUAAUGGUAUACGUCCGGAUACUAUUAUUUAUAACUCCCUCUUAGAUGGAUUGCUCAAGGCGAGAAAGUUGAAAGAUGCGUGCAAUUUGUUUCAGAAAAUGAUUGAAGAUGAUGGUGUUCGAGCCAGUUGUUGGACCUAUAAUAUUCUUAUUGAUGGAUUGUUUAAGAAUGGGAGGGCUUUGGCUGCUUGUACCCUAUUCUGUGAUUUGAAGAAGAAAAGUAAUAAUUUUGUGGAUGGCGUUACUUAUAGCAUUGUCAUUUUGCAUCUUUGUCAGGAAGGUAGGCUUGAUGAAGCACUGAAGUUGGUGGAAGAGAUGGAAGCUAGAGGGUUUACUGUUGAUUUGGUUACCAUAACUUCUCUUUUGAUUGCGAUUUACCGGGAGGGGCAUUGGGACUAUACAGAGAGGCUUGUAAAGCACGUUAGGGAGAACAAUUUAGUUCCAAUUAUUCUCAGGUGGAAAGACAGUAUGGAAGCUACAAUGAAAGCUCCACAGAGCAGAGAAAAGGAUUUUACACCCAUUUUUCCAUCCAAUGGGAACUUUGGUGAUAUUCUAAGCCUAGAAGAUUUAACAGACCCUGAGACUGAUACUGCCCUUGGGGUAGAGGAUGAAAGGGAUCCGUGGUCAUCAUCACCAUAUAUGGACUUGCUGGCUAGUAAAGCGAGCUCCCAAAGUCAUGCUACAAGAGCGUUCUCUCUUACCGGAGGAAAACGAGUAGACACUAAAGGUGCAGAUUCUUUUGAUAUUGACAUGGUGAAUACCUUCUUAUCAAUAUUUUUGGCCAAAGGAAAAUUGAGCAUGGCUUGUAAGUUAUUUGAAAUUUUCACCGACAUGGGUGCUGACCCUGUUAGUUAUACUUACAACUCUAUGAUGGGUUCAUUUGUCAAGAAGGGAUAUUUCGACCAGGCUUGGGGUGUUUUAGAGAAAAUGGACAAGAAGGUUUGCCCUGCUGAUGUAGCAACUUACAAUGUGAUAAUCCAAGGGUUGGGAAAGAUGGGAAGGGCUGAUCUUGCCGGUGCAGUACUCGACAAGCUGAUGAAACAGGGGGGUUACCUUGACAUUGUAAUGUAUAACACCUUGAUAAAUGUGCUCGGGAAGACUGGCAGAAUUGAGGAAGUAAACAAGCUUUUCCAGCAGAUGAAAGAUAGUGGAAUCAAUCCAGAUGUUGUCACUUACAAUACACUAAUCGAAGUUCAUGCAAAGGCAGGUCAGCUUAAGCAAGCUUACAAGUUUUUAAGGAUGAUGUUGGAAGCAGGGUGUGCCCCCAAUCAUGUCACUGACACAACUUUGGACUUUCUGGAGAAGGAGAUUGAAAAACUGAGAUACCAGAAGGCUUCCAUUAAACGCCCCAAUGUAGAUAACUCAUUAUGAGAAGCACUUUAACCUUUAGAGGAGUGAGUUCAGGUAUGAUGUUCUUCCAUAAACUAGUGAAUUCAGCAUUUGCAUUGUAUUCAAUAUUGUUUAAACAGUUGUUCUUCUGGUUUAAAGUGGGAUUUUUUUUAAAAGUAAAGGCAGGCAAUUCAUAUGGCUGGUAUUCAGAAUAGAGUUGGUUUUUCAUGAAUGUAAAAGCAGGAAGAAGUUGAAUUCAUAGAAUCAAGUUUCUAGAAUUCAUAGCAAAAGUGAGUGCAAAGGGUUGUCAAAACUCAUAAAUUGGAGAAACAAAGAAGCAGAAGAAAACCAUCUGACAGGGAGUUGAUGAUGGCACAGAACUGAGCUCUCACAAUGGCUGUUUCUCAUCAUAGUAGAUUGCUUUGAAAUGUUGCUGCUGGCCAAUGAGCUGCUGACUGGCUAAAUUUGAGAUGUCAGGGGGGAGAAUAAGUUUGAAGAUAAGAGAAAGCUAGAAGUUAAUUGAACAUAUCAUGGAAGCAUGCAUCUAUUGGCAGCAAAUACAUGUGGAUUGACACCUCAUAUAUUAUAUUCUCCGAAGAAUAAGAAGGUCAAUACACCCGUCAAAUAAGUAGGAUGAAAAACAUAGGAGACCAGGGUUCAAUUCCACCAAGAGUGGCGAAAAAGCUAAGUGAUUUCUUCCUAUCUGCUAAGCCCUGAUGAACAGAGUUAUCCGGGAUCUAGCUUCAAAUCCUCAUGCCAAGGUGGAAGAAAUAAGGGGAUAACAGGGCUGUAAUUUGAACUUUUGAAAACUGCUGAAUGAUUGGGAAGUUGAUAGAGUUGCUGCAUUGGUAAACCAAAUUGAUCAACUGCAAGGCCUCACAGACUGUGAGGAUUCUUUGGUAUGGAAGGGGUCAAGCACCAGAUAUUUCUCAGUGAAUUCUGCUUACAAAAGCCUAAUGGGCAAUGCCCAUUUUGGUAGGAGUUGGCCUUGGAAACUAAAAGGUAAAUACACCCACAAAGGUGCUAUGGUAUGGUUAGUGGCCAGAAAAGCUUGCUUGACCGAUGAAAAGCUUAAGAGAAGGGGAUAUCAACUGCCCUCCAGAUGCUAUCUCUGUGGAAAGGAAGCAGAACACAACUCCCAUCUGUUUCUUCACUGCAUUGUUACCUCUCAACUGUGGCACAUAUUUCUGAAUAUUGUCAGAAUGAACUGGGUCAUGCCAAAAGAUACAACUGACCUCUUGAGAUGUUGGGCUGGUGUGACAGGUGGAGUCAGACAGUAGAAAUGGUCCCAGCAUGCAUUUGGUGGACAGUCUGGAACGAGAGGAACUCCAAAUGUUUCGAGGAUUUUAGCAACUCUAUUCAGAGAAUCAAAAUGAACUGUUUAGUACUUUUUCUUUUUCGGUGUAAAGAAUGCCCUGUAAAUGAUAGUGACUCCAUACUUGAUAGUUGAUACCAUAGAAUCCUUGUAAGUUUCUGUAGUAGGGGAUUCUUUACUGUUUUUGGUAUAUGUAUUUGUCACUUUUAGCAGCACAAACUUUGUGCUGUUUUCUUUUAUAAAGUGUUACCAUUCUCAAAAGAGUUAUCCGGGAUCUAUGCUAGUGGGACUUGUGCAAAAUUUUUGGAGAUAACACUCUGUUACAACUUCAGAAGUGUGUACGGCUCUUCUCGUGGAGAUAAGGAAUUCAAUGAAGACGUGAAACUAGAAGAACGUUGAAGCAACCCAAAGCAGACACGCCUCAGAACGCAAGGAAGUGAAGUACAAAAGUAUGGAGGUAUCAGCUGACUGAACACUGCCUAAUAUUAACUAGGUUGAAUAUCUUAAUUUAAUGUACCAUACAAAGCAUAUGCAUUUGAGUUGCUUUCUGUUUCUAUCUUAGACUUGCUAGUUUACUUGAGAGUUGGAUUAUAUUUAUUCA